CCCCUAGAUGUUCUGGGCCGCACGCGCGCUACACUGAACAGUUCAACAAGUCUUAACCUUGGCCGAUAGGUCUGGGUAAUCUUUGAACGCUGUUAGUGAUUGGGAUAGACCUUUGCAAUUAUGGGUCUUCAACGAGGAAUUCCUAGUAAACGCAAGUCAUCAGCUUGCAUUGAUUACGUCCCUGCCCUUUGUACACACCGCCCGUCGCACCUACCGAUUGAAUGGUCCGGUGAAAUCUCGGGACGGCGGCUUGGUCGCUUGCGUCCGACUGCUGAAACUUGAUUAAACCAUAUCAUUUAGAGGAAGGUGAAGUCGUAACA
rnacentral:rRNA from 1 species